GACGAACGCUGGCGGCGUGCUUAACACAUGCAAGUCGAACGGAAAGGCCCUGCUUUUGUGGGGUGCUCGAGUGGCGAACGGGUGAGUAACACGUGAGUAACCUGCCCUUGACUUUGGGAUAACUUCAGGAAACUGGGGCUAAUACCGGAUAGGAGCUCCUGCUGCAUGGUGGGGGUUGGAAAGUUUCGGCGGUUGGGGAUGGACUCGCGGCUUAUCAGCUUGUUGGUGGGGUAGUGGCUUACCAAGGCUUUGACGGGUAGCCGGCCUGAGAGGGUGACCGGCCACAGUGGGACUGAGCUACGGCCCAGACUCAUACGGGAGGCAGGAGUGGGGAAUAGUGCACAAUGGGCGGAAGCCUGAUGCAGCAACGCCGCGUGCGGGAUGACGGCCUUCGGGUUGGAAACCGCUUUCGCCUGUGACGAAGCGUGAGUGACGGUAAUGGGUAAAGAAGCACCGGCUAACUACGUG
rnacentral:rRNA from 1 species